rnacentral:piRNA from 1 species
UAAGUGCGCCGUGCGAUAUAGUGCCUU